rnacentral:rRNA from 1 species
GACGAACGCUGGCGGCGUGCCUAAUACAUGCAAGUAGAACGCUGAAGGAGGAGCUUGCUUCUCUGGAUGAGUUGCGAACGGGUGAGUAACGCGUAGGUAACCUGCCUGGUAGCGGGGGAUAACUAUUGGAAACGAUAGCUAAUACCGCAUAAUAGCAGUUAUUGCAUGAUAACUGUUUGAAAGGUGCAAUUGCACCACUACCAGAUGGACCUGCGUUGUAUUAGCUAGUUGGUGGGGUAACGGCUCACCAAGGCGACGAUACAUAGCCGACCUGAGAGGGUGAUCGGUCACACUGGGACUGAGACACGGCCCAGACUCCUACGGGAGGCAGCAGUAGGGAAUCUUCGGCAAUGGACGGAAGUCUGACCGAGCAACGCCGCGUGAGUGAAGAAGGUUUUCGGAUCGUAAAGCUCUGUUGUAAGAGAAGAACGAGUGUGAGAGUGGAAAGUUCACACUGUGACGGUAUCUUACCAGAAAGGGACGGCUAACUACGUG